GGAUGAAUGAAUUCUUCAGCAUGCUUUAGGAACUGAGGCUCCCUAAAAUAGCCUUCUGUCCCCUCCGCAUCACUUCCUCACCCCUCAAAUUAAACAGCAGCCAACAAUGAUGUGAACCAUGAGUGCAGCUCGGAGGUGCUGGCGUUUGCAGGCCUUGGCCUACACUCUUCCCAGGUGUAUUUGCAGCCUCUCUCCUAUCAGAGUGGAUCUCCAUGUUCUUUGAGGACCAUCCCUGAAACUUCUGUAAUAGCCACCUUCCCCCUGGUUCCCUACAGCACCUACUAUAGGACUAUUGACCAAAGAUGCCUCGAUAUGUGACAAGCUGUCAAUUCCAAUGAAAUCUUUGAAGAUGAUAACAGUUACCUCCCCAGAGAAUGGAGACCGCAACAGUUCCCCUCCCAUAACAUCCAACAAACGGAACAAUGCCCAGAGAGCACUUAGAAGAAUUCAUGGUACCUGAAGAAGUUUGCUGACCACUGUACUUCAUCAUCUCUUCACAUCUGCCGAACCACAGUCUUCCAACCAUGAUGGGGCAUCCGUCCACCUCCAGGGGUCUAUGCCAUCAACAAGAUUUCCGUGACUCAGCACUCUAGGCCAAAACACAAGAACCAGCAAACACACACGAGGAAGAAAACCUUCUCCAUACUCCCACCGCAGACUGACUCAAGGGCAAUGUUCAACCAUGACAUGUGCAUGUUGUCAGCAAAAGGUGGGUGAGAGCCCGAGAAA